rnacentral:rRNA from 1 species
UACGUAGGGGGCAAGCGUUGUCCGGAAUUAUUGGGCGUAAAGGGCUCGUAGGCGGUUUGUCGCGUCGGGAGUGAAAACACUGGGCUUAACCCAGUGCUUGCUUUCGAUACGGGCAGACUAGAGGUAUGCAGGGGAGAACGGAAUUCCUGGUGUAGCGGUGAAAUGCGCAGAUAUCAGGAGGAACACCGGUGGCGAAGGCGGUUCUCUGGGCAUGAUCUGACGCUGAGGAGCGAAAGUGUGGGGAGCGAACAGG